GUUGAUGAGAGAUUCACCAGAGAGGAAAGUGUUUGUCUCUAGACCUUUCAGUCAUGUCCACCAUACACAUUCUUUCACUAUAGCCACAAGUACAAUGAAAAUGGUUCUUCCUUCCAGUUUCAAGGAAGGUGGCACGACAAUAUUCACGAUAGACUCGGUUGAUAAACUGACUCAUCUUUUGUCAUUAGAAAUUCUUUAAAGAAACAGGUUUUAAUAAAUAAAUAUCUGAGACAAAUAAUUGUAUAAAACUCUAUCCUACGUUUAUCACAUCUGUAUUUUAUCUUGGUUCAUCAUUACUAUCAUUCUUAUGAUAUUAGAAACUAUUUGAAAAGCCUUGACAUUUAUGUGUACAUCUUAUUCUGGAUUUCUGUUAAGAGAUUUGCUCUACUCACAUCUUCAAGUCAGUGCCCCAGUAUGGUCGCAGUUUAAUAACUGAAACAAGUAAAAGAAUGAAAAUUAAGAUGAAUCCAUUUUAGUUUCAUGAUGGGAUAAUAUAGAACAAACACUAAAGACCAAAAGUACAACUUGUUGGGUAGUGUUGUAAGACACAGGAAUAUGUUGGAAGAGUUUUAUCACAAAACUUAUGGAAUCCAUAUUCAGUGUUAGCAAAGUCAAAUGGUUUUUAUAGACAUAC